rnacentral:lncRNA from 1 species
AUGUGUUUAACAAUUACUCUAGGAUAUGUACAGCCGUGAAUUAAUGAUAUGUUGCGUAACUUUUAAGCACCUAUGAAGAACAAUAGUGCGAGUCGAUAUUUUUAGUGGAAAUAUUAAUGGUAACUUAUAAAUAGACUGUUACGGAAAAAGAACCAGGCCACAAGAUCAGAAAUAAUAACUCUACUUACGUAUUUCAGAAAAUAAUAAUGUAGAAAAAUCCUUAGAGGAGGAAGAGUGGUUAAUUGUCAGCUCAUGGUCCAUUACGUUUUACUCUUGAAGGAACAUAAAGACACAGGAGGAAGCACAAAUUUAAAUGUGGAAAGAUGUAAACUCUGGGACUGAAUCUGUAAAUAGAAUUCAGCAGAUGUUAUCCAAACAACCAGAAGUAGCUGGACCUGCAGCUAAUAUAUUAAUGUACACAAGAACAUAAAGGCAUAUAUGGACCUCAGGAAGUAGAAAAUAAUAUAACUGGAUCUUCAGACGAUAUAAUCCAAAGAAUCAGAUGAAGAUUUAUGAUAUUUUGAUUUAAGAUAGAAAAAUUCAAGGAAUUUCACACAGUGACUUGAAUAUAAAUACAUUGAUGAAAUCACCGCUUGAAAUGUUGGAAGACAGGAAGACUAUAACUUAAUGGGUAGUAAAGGUUCAACAUAUGGACAGCAAUAGUAACAACAGGUCCAUAGUGUAAACACGUCGAUCACCUAUCACUGAGUAUAUUUUCUUUAGCAUUUUGUCAUGCCUGUAAAAGUAACGUAUGUAUAAUAGAUGAUAAUACAUUUUUGCCUUCCGCCAUGUUUCCGAAAAAAGAAAGACACCGUGGGACCACAGCAUGAAAAUAAGGAAGAAGUAAAUUCAAUAGCUUAAU